UUGAUGAUGAACUGUUCAAUUACCAAAAGGAUAACUUAUAUGAACCAUGUAUAAUUUCUGUAGUGAGAAGCAAAUUUACAGAAACUUCAGAAGACCAAUUGAUGGAAGCUGAUGAAUGUGAUUGGGAAAGACCAAUUAAAGUCAAGUUCAUUGGGGAAGAGGGGGUAGAUCAUGGAGGUUUAACUAAGGAAUUUUUCACACUUUUAUUCAAAUCAUCUAAUGCAUUUGAUGGAAACAGUUUUUCAUUAAAUCCCAAUUUACUUGAGAAAGGAUAUUAUAAACUUAUGGGGAAAGCUGUUGCAAUUGCUGUCAUCCAUGGUCAUCCUGGGCCACAGGAUGUGUCACUGAGUUUAUCGUAACAGGACACAUUCCUCAAUUUAAGGAUGCCAUUACAACUGAUGUUUUGGGGGCUGAUGCCCUGGCAGUCAUCAAUGAAAUCAAUAAUGCUGAUGCGUGUAAUAUCAGGGAAGUUAAUGAAACACACAUGGAUAUGAUUACUGCAACAGGUUUUUUUAAAACUACUUACCACUGAAAACAGAGAAGAAGCUAUUACAGCAAUCAAAGGCUAUUUCACUUUAUAUAAAAUAAUGGCACCCAUACUACAGUUCAUGGAAGGUCUGGAGUUUCAGAAUGUACUUAACCUCUUAAGGAAAUAUAAAGCCGAAGGGAGAUUGGUUUUAGGCACGAGUGAACUUUGUAGUGUUGCUGCCAUAGAGAAAUUUUAUUUAACAUCAUUUUCCAUCAACACCGAUGAAAAAGCUCUUGAAGAAGUUGUUAUGUAUAAUUUCCAGAAGUUUUUGAAAAGAGUUGAGCGUAUGUAUAUUAUUGUUAGAAUCUCUGUCCCUUCCAUGUUUAUUGCAGGUGAGAAAAUCACUACACCAUGGAUAAAUUCAGAUGAAAAUACAGAAAGUAUAGUCAAAUUAAAUACAGGCCAUGUUCUUCAAUCCUUAAUUGGCAGUUCUUCCCUUCCACGGACAUUGAUGAGUGAAAUUAUUACAUUUGAUCACAGUUCAAACAAUUUAUCAUGUGUAAAUACAUGUGCCCCCUCCAUUACCUUUUCUGAUAUUAAAGCCAUUCAAGAAUAUCCAAAAUUUGAAGAACAUUUAUUAAAUAUAAUUGUUUGUUCUUAUGGCUUUGGGAAUGUUUGAAUUUGAUAUGCUACUUUAAGAA